rnacentral:rRNA from 1 species
GACGAACGCUGGCGGCGUGCCUAAUACAUGCAAGUCGAACGCAUUUUCUUUCACCGUAGCUUGCUACACCGAAAGAAAAUGAGUGGCGAACGGGUGGGUUACACGUGGGUAACCUGCCCAUCAGCGGGGGAUAACACUUGGAAACAGGUGCUAAUACCGCAUAAUUCCAUUUACCGCAUGGUAGAUGGGUGAAAGGCGCUUUUGCGUCACUGAUGGAUGGACCCGCGGUGCAUUAGCUAGUUGGUGGGGUAACGGCCUACCAAGGCUGCGAUGCAUAGCCGACCUGAGAGGGUGAUCGGCCACACUGGGACUGAGACACGGCCCAGACUCCUACGGGAGGCAGCAGUAGGGAAUCUUCGGCAAUGGACGCAAGUCUGACCGAGCAACGCCGCGUGAGUGAAGAAGGUUGUCGGAUCGUAAAACUCUGUUGUUAGAGAAGAACAAGGAUGAGAGUGGAAAGUUCAUCCCUUGACGGUAUCUAACCAGAAAGCCACGGCUAACUACGUG